rnacentral:rRNA from 1 species
GACGAACGCUGGCGGCGUGCUUAACACAUGCAAGUCGAACGGAAAGGCCCUGCUUUUGUGGGGUGCUCGAGUGGCGAACGGGUGAGUAACACGUGAGUAACCUGCCCUUGACUUUGGGAUAACUUCAGGAAACUGGGGCUAAUACCGGAUAGGAGCUCCUGCUGCAUGGUGGGGGUUGGAAAGUUUCGGCGGUUGGGGAUGGACUCGCGGCUUAUCAGCUUGUUGGUGGGGUAGUGGCUUACCAAGGCUUUGACGGGUAGCCGGCCUGAGAGGGUGACCGGCCACCUUGGGACUGAGGUACGGCCCAGACUCCUACGGGAGGCAGCAGUGGGGAAUAUUGCACAGUGGGCGGAAGCCUGAUGCAGCAACGCCGCGUGCGGGAUGACGGCCUUCGGGUUGUAAACCGCUUUCGCCUGUGACGAAGCGUGAGUGACGGUAAUGGGUAAAGAAGCACCGGCUAACUACGUG